rnacentral:rRNA from 1 species
GCGUGCUUAACACAUGCAAGUCGAACGAUGAUCUCCCGCUUGCGGGGGUGAUUAGUGGCGAACGGGUGAGUAAUACGUGAGUAACCUGCCCUUGACUCUGGGAUAAGCCUGGGAAACCGGGUCUAAUACUGGAUACGACCCCCUGUCGCAUGGUGGGGGGUGGAAAGGGUUUGACUGGUUUUGGAUGGGCUCACGGCCUAUCAGCUUGUUGGUGGGGUAAUGGCUCACCAAGGCGACGACGGGUAGCCGGCCUGAGAGGGUGACCGGCCACACUGGGACUGAGACACGGCCCAGACUCCUACGGGAGGCAGCAGUGGGGAAUAUUGCACAAUGGGCGGAAGCCUGAUGCAGCGACGCCGCGUGAGGGAUGACGGCCUUCGGGUUGUAAACCUCUUUCAGCAGGGAAGAAGCCACAAGUGACGGUACCUGCAGAAGAAGCGCCGGCUAACUACGUGCCAGCAGCCGCGGUAAUACGUAGGGCGCAAGCGUUGUCCGGAAUUAUUGGGCGUAAAGAGCUCGUAGGCGGUUUGUCGCGUCUGCUGUGAAAGCCCGGGGCUCACCCCGGGUCUGCAGUGGGUACGGGCAGACUAGAGUGCAGUAGGGGAGACUGGAAUUCCUGGUGUAGCGGUGAAAUGCGCAGAUAUCAGGAGGAACACCGAUGGCGAAGGCAGGUCUCUGGGCUGUUACUGACGCUGAGGAGCGAAAGCAUGGGGAGCGAACAGGAUUAGAUACCCUGGUAGUCCAUGCCGUAAACGUUGGGCACUAGGUGUGGGGGACAUUCCACGUUCUCCGCGCCGUAGCUAACGCAUUAAGUGCCCCGCCUGGGGAGUACGGCCGCAAGGCUAAAACUCAAAGGAAUUGACGGGGGCCCGCACAAGCGGCGGAGCAUGCGGAUUAAUUCGAUGCAACGCGAAGAACCUUACCAAGGCUUGACAUUCACCGGACCGCCUCAGAGAUGGGGU